AACGCGAAGAACCUUACCCAGGCUUGACAUGCACAGGACGUAUUUAGAGAUAGAUAUUUCCUUCGGGACCUGUGCACAGGUGCUGCAUGGCUGUCGUCAGCUCGUGCCGUGAGGUGUUGGGUUAAGUCCCGCAACGAGCGCAACCCUUAUCAUUAGUUGCCAGCACGUAAUGGUGGGAACUCUAAUGAGACUGCCCGGGUUAACCGGGAGGAAGGUGAGGAUGAUGUCAAGUCCGCAUGGCCCUUAUGUCUGGGGCUACACACGUGCUACAAUGGUCGGCACAGCAGGAAGCGAAUCCGCGAGGUGGAGCAAAUCCCUAAAGCCGACCCCAGUUCAGAUUGCAGUCUGCAACUCGACUGCAUGAAGCCGGAAUUGCUAGUAAUGGCGUGUCAGCAACAACGCCGUGAAUACGUUCCCGGGCCUUGUACACACCGCUCGUC
rnacentral:rRNA from 1 species